GUCAUCUACACUGAUGAGGAGGCCUAUUGGCGUCUCCGCGGUGCCCAAAAAUGGGUUUUGAAGGGCGACGCGAACACGACCUACUUUCAGGCCAUCGCAAAUGGCCACCGUAGACGCAACACCAUCCCCCUUCUCUGGGAUGGUGCGUCCCUCCUGCAGGACCCCUGUGACAUUUGGGCCCAUGUCGACGGAUUCUAUAGGUCCUUGUUUUCUGCUGGUCCUAGGAGCGGCCUCUCCCUGCCCCCUGAUUGCUGGACUGGCCCCCAGCUGGUCACUGACGCGGAGAACGCGGCCCUUACGGCCCCCUUCUCCGAGGGCAAGGUCUGGGCUGCCAUUCGAGGCAUGAACUCCACCUCGGGUCCGGGUCCUGACGGCCUUUCAGUGAAAUUCUUCCAGACCUUCUGGAACGUGAUUAAAUCGGAGGUCAUGGCCAUCUUCAACAAGUUCUAUGUUGGAUCCAUCGACCUCGGUCGCCUCAACUAUGGGAUCAUCUCGCUCAUCCCGAAGGUGCCAGGCGCCUCCGAGAUCCGCCAGUUUCGUCCAAUCACGGUCAUCAACGUGAUUUUCCGGAUUCUAGCAAAAGGGUACGCCGAUAGGGUGACCCUUCUUGCGGACCAUGUUACCCACCCCAACCAGUCCGCCUUCAUUCAAGGCGGUAUAUCUUGGAUGGGGUGCUUGUUCUUCAUGAAAUCCUCCAUGAGGUUCGAUCUAAACACCUCAAGGAGGUUUUCCUGA
rnacentral:rRNA from 1 species